rnacentral:rRNA from 1 species
UACGUAGGGUGCGAGCGUUGUCCGGAAUUAUUGGGCGUAAAGAGCUCGUAGGCGGUUUGUCGCGUCGGCCGUGAAAACUUGGGGCUUAACCCCGAGCCUGCGGUCGAUACGGGCAGACUUGAGUUCGGCAGGGGAGACUGGAAUUCCUGGUGUAGCGGUGAAAUGCGCAGAUAUCAGGAGGAACACCGGUGGCGAAGGCAGCUCGCUGGGACGGUACUGACGCUGAGACGCGAAAGCGUGGGGAGCGAACAGG